UCAGCCGCCGCGGUAACACCGGCGGCCCGAGUGGUGAUCGUGAUUAUUGGGUCUAAAGGGUCCGUAGCCGGUUUGGUCAGUCCUCCGGGAAAUCUGAUAGCUCAACUAUUAGGCUUUCGGGGGAUACUGCCAGACUUGGAACCGGGAGAGGUAAGAGGUACUACAGGGGUAGGAGUGAAAUCUUGUAAUCCCUGUGGGACCACCUGUGGCGAAGGCGUCUUACCAGAACGGGUUCGACGGUGAGGGACGAAAGCUGGGGGCACGAACCGGAUUAGAUACCCGGGUAGUCCCAGCCGUAAACGAUGCUCGCUAGGUGUCAGGCAUGGCGCGACCGUGUCUGGUGCCGCAGGGAAGCCGUGAAGCGAGCCGCCUGGGAAGUACGGCCGCAAGGCUGAAACUUAAAGGAAUUGGCGGGGGAGCACAACAACGGGUGGAGCCCUGCGGUUUAAUUGGACUCAACGCCGGACAACUCACCGGGGGCGACAGCAAUAUGUAGGCCAAGCUGAAGACUUUGCCUGAAUCGCUGAGAAGAGGUGCAUGG
rnacentral:rRNA from 1 species